CUUGAUAGAGCUUGACCAGUAAAGCAUCUCUUUUACACAGAGCAGACAUUUGUGCAACCCAAAUUAUCUUGA
rnacentral:tRNA from 1 species